AUGUUCCUCAGGCUUGGCGAGGUUCCAACCUUGGUCGUCUCCAGCGCCGAGGCGGCUGAGCUGGUGAUGAGGACCCACGACCUAUCGUUCGCCCCCCGACCGAGCAGCGUGACCAUCGACAUCGUCGGCUCCUGCGGGAAGGGUAUCGGCUUCGCUCCCUACGGCGACCGCUGGCGCCAGAUGAAGAAGAUUUGCAUCAUGGAGCUUCUCAACGCCAAGCAGGUGAAGCGCGUGGAGUCCAUAAGGGCCGAGGAGGUGGGCCUCCUCCUCCGCUCCAUUGCGGCGGCCUCUGGUUUCGUCAACCUCAGCAAGAAGGCGUCGGCGCUGGCGAACGACAUCGUCGCCAUGGCCAUGUUCGGUGGCAAGUGCGCGGGGGAGAAGUCCGAGUUCGUGCUUGCCUACGACCAAGUAAGCGAGCUGGUGGCCGGGUUCUUCCCGCUGGACUUCUUCCCGUCAUCGCGGAUCGUGCGGCGGCUGAGCACCGUCGAGCGCCGCCUCCGCGGGAGUUAUGGCUGCAUCCAGCGCAUCAUUGCGAGUAUCGUCGAGAGCCGCAAUGCGGAGAUCGCUGCCAACGGGGAUCAAGAGGAUUUCCUGGGCGUGCUGCUCAGGCUGCAGAAGCAGGAUUCACUUGCUUUCCCUCUAACCCCGGAGACUAUUGGCGCCAUCAUGUUUGAGGUUCUUAGGUUGCAUCCUCCCAACCCUAUGCUUGUCCCCCGUGAGUCGAGAGAGGGCUGUGAAAUCAUGGGUUAUCACAUUCCCAAAGGCACAAAGAUACAUGUUAAUGCAUUUGCAAUUUCUCGGGAUCCAAGAUAUUGGUACAACCCAGAGGCAUUUAACCCAGAGAGGUUUGAGAAUAGCAAUGUUGAUUUUAAAGGAACAAAUUUUGAGUUCACCCCCUUCGGGGCAGGUCGUCGACAGUGUCCUGCGAUUCUGUUUGGCACGUCUGCCGUGGAGAUUGCAUUGGCGAAUCUUCUCUACCACUUUGAAUGGGUGCUUCCUGAUGGAGAGAAUUCGCAUUUGUUGCACAUGUCUGAGACUUUUGGGAUGGGAGUAAGGAAAAAGGUAGAGCUGCAUUUGAGAGCUACUCCAUAUGUACACUCUGGUUAUGUAUAA
rnacentral:rRNA from 1 species